rnacentral:lncRNA from 1 species
ACAAGAUAUACUAAAAGUUAUACACAAAAUAUACAUCUCAUGAAUACAAGAUGGUUUCUAUACAAAAAAAAAUACACCUUCCAUUACUAAAACCAAAAGAAAGGUGUCUUGAUCCACCUAUAGCAACACCAGAGUGGCUCUAGUUAGUCACUAAAUCCUUGUCGCAAUCUCUAGCCUCACCCUGUCACGCCCCGCCCCGAAUCCACUACCAAUUUGGCACGGUUCGGGCACAUCAGACGGACCGCCGAACGGACAGUACCUCUCCUGUCCGCCCAAGGCCAAGCAACCAGAUCAUGUACAAUUAAGCACCCAGGAAUUUGCUUAAAUAACAUACAUUGGAUGCAAUACGAUGACACAGUGCAUCAGUGGUAGGAGAACCAAACGUGAUCAAUACAAGUGUGUAUAGAAGAGAAUAGUCUAACUAUCACCAAUCAUUCAACAUUUACAUUUAUUUGAAUAUAUUAUAUUUUCAUCUUCCAAAAUGUAAGUACAUGUUUUUCUUCAAAAUACAAGUAGCUCUCUGAUAUCUAUCCAAAAUAUCAACUAUAACACGAUGGGUACUCUAAUGCAUAAGGAAAAGCUACUUAACUAGGCUCACUUAGGGCGCUAUGCCUUGCCGCGGUUCCUCGCUCGGCUCGCCUCUAUGAUGUACCUGUACCCCAAAACCACACGGGGUGAGAACUAUAUAAAUAUAGUUCCCAGUGGGUUCGGCCGCCGACGCCGCCGGUUUUCCACUAGGUCUAAGCUGGCACAGAUAGAGAGGAUAGAUAGAUAGAAUAAAGUAAACUGCGAACUCUAUCUGCCAUCAACGAUGAUAAUGCAUGAAAACUACUAUCAUGCGAGAAUCAUGUCAUGAGUAUAGAAAAGUACAUAGUAAUGCAAUCUACAACAUACACUAUGUCUACUCGAGGUAAUGCAUGAACAUAGCAAUAAUUUCUACUAAUCAUGAUACUAUGCUUCAACAAUAAUGGAAUGAGCUACUACAUAGUGAUGUAUCUACAACAUGCUACUAUGUCUCAAUGUCAACUCAAGGUAUGAAUGCAAAUCUGCUAUGCCAUUCAUAUUCUUUACCAAUCUCUUGGAAAUGAGCUACUACAUAGUGAUGUAUCUGCACAUGCUACUAUGCUCAAUAAUCCAAAUGAACGAGCGUACACAGUGCGUCGUGCAACUAUGCCUCGUAGUAUCCAAUCUAUGGCCAACCCGAAGGUUGCCACCCCGGGGUCAACCCCGACUCACUCUCAAUCUCAUAGGUGAGGAGAAACUGCACUCGCCACACCGAGACCGUCUGCGGGACAACUACGUCUGCCCCUAGUGAAGUACUCCCGGAGACUCGUGCCUCGGUGGAGCGACCACCGACAAGCAAAACAGACUAGUGAGUAUGAUCCAAUCCUCACAAGAGGAUACCUAUCUACAAGGGUCAACGUGCCUCUGCUGCACAAUGUACAAUGCAUCCUAGAUGCCGGGAUCUCUACUAUCCCUAAGUACAUGUCGAGUUUACUACACUAGACUCAAUGCCCCUGUUUAGUCAUUGUAGUAAAUGUCUCAAUUAUUCUACUGUUAUUUGUUCAUGUCAUAGUGUCUCUCCUACACUAGUUCAAUGCCACUCUACUAGGCUAGUUCAAAUUCAUCACUUUUGCCACUAUAGGAUUCUUUGUCUCAAGACCAAUCCUCAUGCCUCCCUAGUCCAAGUGUUAGGUCCAUACCGCUACACUACUAAGUAAGCAUGCAAGGAAUGGAAAUAUACUUUACUAAUCCUAUAAUGCUCAAUCAAUAUAUGAUGAAUAAAAUUAACUUAGGCAUAAAAGGAAACCCGGAUGUUUCGGGAUGACACCCCCCCCUUUUACCGCUAUCACGAGGCUAGGUUCUCAAUUGCACGUUCCCUAGUCGCCGCGUUUACUCUUUCGGUCGCACCUGCUCGACGAAUCGACGACACCGACGCAUUACACGGCGUUUUAGGCACCUCAAACACAAGCUUUUCCUCAAACCAAGUAAUGAAGAGGAUGAAGACUUCACCUCCAAGCAACCUUUUUCUUCUCCAAAUGCACCUCCAAUUCCUCUCUUUGGUGGAGAAAUUGUUAGAGAGAGAGAGAUAUUUCUCUUUGGUUGCAAGUGUGAGGGAGAAAGAAAGAAAAUGCUCAAGUCCCCUAUAUAUAUAUAUAGGAAACUUGGCCUCCAAGUUUCAUAGGAAACUUGGUCUCCAAGUGUCAUAGGAAACUUAGCCUCCAAGUUUCAUAGGAAACUUGGCCUCCAAGUUAUCUAGGAAACUUGGCCUCCAAGUUAUCCAAGAAUACUAUUCACAUUCAGUUUAGCAGCACGGUACAGAUAUUUUUCGUCUGCCCUGUCUCUCACAGAAAAUUCUAAAUCUUCUGUUUUCGCUUCCAUUUCAACACGGGUCACUCUAGACUUAUAAUUUAUGUCUAUAAGUCCAAUAAAAAUAGUAUCCCACACUAUUUUUAUUUAUUUCCACUUUUACAUUUAAAAUCCGGUACCUUACACACCCGCUAUGGAAGGCUUUGAAAUAAAAAUAAACAACCAAUGGGAGGCUUUGAAAUGAAAACAAACAACCAAUGAGGGUGAGGACUAUUUAAUAAUAGUUUCUAGUGGGUAAGCUGCCGAGAGUACGAAAUACAAUACUAGGUCAACAUAGGCAAAUAUAACAAAUAACUAAAUGAGAAACUACUAUAAUUACUGAAAUUGAAAUGUUCUAAUACUAUCAUGCCUCUAUGCAACAAUACCGCAAUGUCGACUAAUAUGAAGGUAGUUCUACUACUACUAUCAUACAUACAAAAGUAUGCAAGAGUUUACAUAUAUGUCCAUCUCGAUGAAUGCAUCAAAUUAUGAUGUACAAUGCCAUAUUUAGUUUAAUUAUAAACCAAUCAUUAAGGACUUAUACGAGGUAACGUCCUGACUUGUGCCGUACCUAAUGGCUCCCGUGGUAGUCAACAUCUUUCCUCUAGAAAUGAGUCUCUUCCACGGCAUCCCAUUUCGGUUCCCAAAUUUCGCACGGGUGAGUAUGAUGUCGCAAAGGCUAAACUCCGGGGUGCUAGCUUGUAGGAAGUGACCCUCAGGAGCAUGUACGAAUGAGCACAAGAGUAAACAAGCAUGAUCAAAUGCAUAUAAAACCUCAUUCAUCAUGUCUAAAACAUGAAAUUCCAAUUAACGACCUAUCGGUUGAAUACAUUGCCAUAAUAUUAUGCCUUGUCAUUUUACUAGGUUUAAGCACAAUAUACUUAAUCACUACAACAUGUCUCUAACAUGCAAGUGUCACCUUUCAUCAUAACUAUAAUAAUAAGUAUGCAUGAUUUGACAUUCAAGUUCUAAUAAAUAACUUGCUCACUAGUCAUGUAUGGUUACUAAUGAGUAACAUCUCAACAAUAAUAUACAAGAGGACAAUUUAACCAUGAGAUUGACUACAUCAUAUAUCUUUAUAUGUGUGCUUUUUACUAUGAAUGUCGCUACUACAUAGAGGAUAAAAUUCUCCAUACAAGAUGUAUCCAAAUUAUAAGCGCAAAAAUUUAAUGUUAUCUUGAAUUGCAUGUUGUACCAUAUAAUAAGCUCAAUAAUGAGAUAGGAAACAUAUGGAGAGUUCACCCAUUUCAGUGAGGUCAAAUCCACCGGAUAACCAUCGAAAGCUGGAUCAUUUCGAAAACAAAGUUGCCCCCCAAACUUCUUACACCCUAAGAAAAAUUUCUAAAGGGUUACAAAUUUCUAAAAAUCUCACUACAAAAUUUACCAAAAUUCAAAGAAAAAAUAAGUGAAAAUUACCUUGGAUCAAGAAAAACAUAUCCGAACGCCAAAUCAAAGCAAUGGGGGGCUUCAAAUCCAACCUAAAAGAGUAUUCUACACUCAUUAAUUUCACCUCAAAAGCCUAUACUUGAAAAAUCCCAAAAUAAACCGUAGUUUCUACAAAAUUAUGUUUUCUACCAAAAGAAAGGGGUGAAGGGGUAUUUUACUUGUCGUAACUGUAAGAAUUUAUCCGGCACAAAAAAUCGCAGCGGAAAAUAAAUAUCAUGUUUUCGAAAAACAAAAAUCCAUAUCACAUAUGAACCAAAAUAAAACAAAUCAAUCUAGUGCCGGUGGAUCAUUCUCAUGUUGCAAUGUAAAAUAAAAUUUAACCUAAACAGAUUUAAAGUUUAGGUUACAUUACCUGGGACCAGUUAAGGUCUAUUGAUCUACUGUACGGUUGAAACUGAAAUUCCGAUCAGCCGCACACGUGCCCGGCCUCUACGCGUAUCCACACGAAAUUGAUCCAGAUCCAAUGCUUUCCGUCGCACGGAAUAGAUGAGUCGCGGAUUACAAAGACAAUGCUAGCAGUCUCGUGAUAUCCACGUUCGCCUUUUGUGAGAUGUACUGAUUUUUUUUUUGAAAAAAUUAGAGAGAGAUGGAUGAUCUAAUAUUUCUCAAGAGGCUAUUAUUAAAUUCCUCUCGUAAAAGGAUGUUAUAUUAUGUUCACGUAGCCGUACAUUAAUAAUUGAUUAAGCCACGCCUAGCCGUACAAUCGACAUCCUCAAUAUUCUGUUGCAACUAAUUUGGAUCACAUCCAAUUAGUUGCAUAAAUUGUUGCAUGCAUUCUGGUAUAACUAAUUUGGAUCAUAUCCAAUUAGUUACAUGCAUUCUAAUGUAACCAAUUUUGAUCAUAUCCAAUUAGUUCCCAUAGAUAAGUAAAACAAAUUUAUACUUAUCCUUAUGGAUAUUUUAUCUUUGUCUCUCUCUUUAAUUUAAUUGGAUCUUAUCCAUUAAAUAUUCAUAUUAUAAUCUAUUUAGAAUAUUAUCUCAUAAUAAUCUAUGAAUAAUUAAUUAUUCUCUAAUCUAAUUAGAGAUUAAAUCAAAUUAUAAUUCUCACAAUUUUCACUAAACUAUUUAGUGUAUUAAUUAGACUCAUCUUAUCAAAUUGGAUGCACACAAUUCCUAUUGUGUGUGACCGCAUAGGUCCAUUAUCAUUCGGUAGUGGAGUUCAAUAUCAAACUCUUUAAUAUUGAAUUAGAACUCUUCUAAUCUAUAAAAUAAUUUAUUUGAAUUAUUUUUACUUCUCUCACUGUCCGUGAGUGACACCUAGCAGUAUAUCACGGCAAUCCAGAAUGAUGAUGAAAAACGAACCUUUCCACUAACAGUUACUAUGUGAUUAAUUCCUUCCAACAUACAACGCCCCGAUCGAACUAAAAUUAUGGUUACUCGCCAAAUCUUAUUAUUCGAUCAUAUGACUAGAAUAUCUAAAACUGACUCAAUAUGGUAACACAGCUGGAAACUCUUUCCACACACCACGUACCCUGGCCAAGGAUUUUUCGAGUCAAGUUCGACAGUCUACAUAGGACGUUCUCUCUCACUAUUGAGAGUGUUGAAUUCCUUAUUGCGCAUUCACAUGCCUCCCCAUAUAAACUACUACAAUCAAUCAGUACCAGACAUAGACCAAUGAUUAGAGUCUAAGUAUUAGUACAGUUAAACAGUAGCAAUCUACAUGUGAAGCAACCAUGAUGCCUCAGGUCUAAGGAGUACUUCACACAACUGUAGCAACGAACUAGUCACUGGCGAAUUCGGAACCAUGUGACUGUUCAACUAAAUGGUCAUGCUCAGUGUACUUGUGUCACGCCCCGGGGUCCCCUUUUUGUUUGAAACACAGCGGAAAAGCGUUUAAAUUUUUUUUUGAAAACCUGACCCCAGAGUAUGCAAGAUCCGCCACAAAUACAGGGAAUCCACUGUUCACACGGACAGAGUCUCCCCUGUAUUUGCACGGCGUCGCACAAGUACAAAAGUACAAACAGUAUACAACCACAACUAAAUGAAUAUACAGAUAGCUAUACAUUCAUACAUUCACCAUUCACACCGUAGUUUUACAUUCGAUGUUUAAACAAAAGUCUACGAAAAAUCUUUUGAAAACUGUUCCAUACGCGAAAACUUUUAUCUUUUAUAAAAGCUACCACGAGGGGUAGAUAACCUUUUAUUUUUUCAAAUCCAGAAAUCUUUUUAUUACAUUUAUGAAAGUCCACAUAUUCCAAUGUAAUAAAAAUACUGAACCAUAUAAACUGACUGAGCUAUAACACAGAAUAGUAGGGAUAAAACUAAACCGAUAACCUGGGUCGGAAGCUCUAUCGACCGCUACGAACGUACCUCACGUCUCGUCCCAAAACUCAACGCCUGCAAUACCUGAAAAAAUGGUGAGGGAGGUGAGAACAUGUAAACAUGUCUCCCCUCCCAGUGGGUACCGCAAGCCGACGAGGGCGAGGAGUACUCACCGGAUCGGGAAUAGAUAAACAACAGUAUGGGUAAGUAAAAUGCAGUAGCAACGAUAAUGAACGAAUGAGAUAUAUAUAUGAAAGCACAACUACCGCUACAGUAAUGUACAACUGCAAGCAUACAAGGAUAUUAAAACUAUAGUAGCAAGACAAUUGUAAAGGAAGAACUAGAAGUAUAUAUGCAACAACCGCUACUAUAGCUAUAUGCGUCAACCGGACGAGAAGUCCAAAAGUACCAAAUCUAAACCGCCGUGUCGGUCUAAGGACCUCAGGCAAAAGCCACUACCUGCUCACACCUGGCAUGUAACCCUAGCACAAAGAGAACACCGCUGGGCUCACGGGUCGGAUGUACGACCACUUUUCCGGAAAAGAACACCCUCCUGCGGGGGAUCAACCCGCUGGUGUACGUGAAAUGCACUCGAGCUGUGGCGAUCAAUGCAGAUAUGAUCAAUAGCCAACCGUCGGCAAUCAGCCGACAAUCACCGCCCCUCGGGGCUAACCGACCAUGAAGGUCAUCAAGUAACAACGUGAACCGACCAAGAUAGGUCAGUAUACGGAGAGUAACGAACGACCAAACAGGUCACCGAUGCAAACAGGAGAACCGACCAACCAGGUCACAAGUAUAGUAUAUACGAAUGCCAUCUACUCUACCCCUAUACAGGAUACUAUACAUAGAACAACCAGGCAGAGUAAAUAAAGAUAGUAUGUAGAUACUGCUCGAUGUCAACUAAAAGUACGAACGCAAGAACCGACCGAUAGGUCACAGGAGUGUAUUCGAUAUAGUCCAGAACUACCGUCAGCACCAACCGAUAAUCCUACCCCUCAGGGUACACCGACCUCAAAGGUCAUCGAACGACAGAAGUCAAGAAACAGACCAACCCAAUACAUAAUGCAGCAACCGACCAACCAGGUCAACAGAUAUAAGAUAAAAGCACCGAUCAACUAGGUCACCGAAACGAAGUACAAGAACCGACCAAUCAGGUCACCGGGACGAAGUACGAGAACCGACCAAUCAGGUCAUCGGGAUCACAUAUGGAUAAACUACUCUACUCCUACACAUGAUACUAAGCAUAGAAACAUAUGAGUAGAGUAUAAUAGAAACAACGGGGAUGCAAGCUCAAUACUAUAUAUCAAGAUAUAUAUAUAUAUAUAUAUAUAUAUAUAUAUAUCAGAUAAUAACGAGAGAACAGAGGUAGGAAACCAUCACCGAGCGUGCACCACUGUACCGACGUCGGAUCGAAGUACCCACCUGUACAAAUGCUGCGCCUGUCUCCUGACUGCAAAAGGACGUCAACUGGACCUAAGGAAGGUCCACCGGGUUAGUGUCUAACCCACAACUAAUAAUCACUAGAUCCACAAUACAAGCAAACCCAUGGAGAUCGGUUUCCCAAACCGAUCGCCGUAAUACGCCGAAAGUCCCAUAAUCGCACGGGGACUCCGCCGGGAGCCACGAACUGUCCCGGAACAUACCGACUCGAGCUACGAGUCACCUGCUGCCACUAAACAUAAAUAAUCGUGCAUCAUGGCAGCAAACACCACUCCUCACGUCGAAACAACUAUCGUCGGAUAAUCGUUUCGAUCCGGGUUCCCGAAAGUGUCUAAUUCGACACCGGAACCUACCGUCGCUCACCCGUCAUUUUUCGAACCCUCAAAAUGAUGCGAGUGACCAGCCAACAAGGCUCAGCGACUACACAAUUCAUCACGAAGCACUGUCGGAAGGAAUCCGAACCGAUCCCGCGUUCCGUCGGCGGAUUUUGCCGAGAAACACGCCGAAAAUCUCUUUCCGACACUUGCAAAGGCUUGGGGCCUUGGACGAUCAGUCCAGAGGUUACCCUUAGCCUAUACCUGCUGCCAACAGCAGCCAUGACAGACAAACUUGCACAAAAGCCCUUCCGACUGCUCGAAAUCACAUUAUUUUAUGUGAUUUCAGCGCUUUUAUGGUCCGUCGACACAAACCAGCAGUCAAUCAACCGAGCCGAGACACCCGCUGACAGGUCUCGGCAUGCCGGAGGCCGUGCUCACCUUUCGGAGCACUGCCGGCCACUGUGGCAUGCGCACAAGUGACGCAGAAAUCAGCGAAAUUGCGCGCACAGCGCUAAGAUCGCCUCUAAUUCGCUAACUAGGGCAUCGUUGACCCUGUCGGAGGUGAGUACGAUGUUCAGCACGAAUCUGAGAUCAUCGUGCUCACUUCCCGGAGUGUCAAAGUAUCCUCGGAUCACCAGAAAGGUGACAGAAACUCUAAACUACAGUGCUGUCAACAUAAACAAUGCUUACCGGACCAGUGGGAGCUAGGGCUCGUCGCCGGCGAUCGGGCGGCGGGCGCUCCGGCCGGUGAUGGGAGCAGCAGGUCGGGGAGGUCCGGGGGAGGUGCUGGCCGGCGGCGGCAUCAGCCUGUGGCGCGGCGGCGGAGAUCGGGCCCGCCGACUUCCUCUCGGGUUGGAGCUUGCCGGCGGCGAGGCGGCGACCGGGGGAGGUCGGGGCGGCAACGACCCGUCGCCGGAGGUCGAGGGGAGGGUGAGGCUCCCGACGGUGGGUGGCGGCGACACUCAGAAACGGUGAGGGCCCAGCCCCGGCCAGCACGAGUUCAGGGAUGGCCGCAAAGGCUCGGCCGGCGGCUACGGGGACGACCGGGGACGCACGCCGGAGGUCGCCGGAGAUCGAGGGAUGACGGCGCGGCCGAUCUGGAGUGUCGGCGGUGCGCGGAUCACAAACCCACCCGAUCUCGGUCUGGGUGACCGCAGCUGGCCGCCAGGAGCUAGGGCGGCUUCGGGGCCGCUCCGGGACGGCGGGGCGGCGAGCGGGAUGUCGCCGGAAGCCAGAAGGAGUCGGGGCGACCAAGCUGGGGUGGUUCCAACACGCGGGCCUCGAGCUGAAGUCGGCUCGGCCUGGGCUGACCCUGGGCUAGCUGCGACUUGCUCGGGCGGCGCCGGUGGCGUGUGCAGGCGGCCGGAACGGCCGGUGACGGUGCUGGAGGGGGUGUCUCCGCCAGGAGAAGGGUUCCAAGGAUGAUUUGAAGUUCCCCCGGGUUCCACGGCCGAGGGUGAAGCAAUAUGGAGGGAGAGAGCAAUGGGGGAAAGGCUGGGGAGGGUUUUUCGGUGGUCGGGGCAGCCUGCCAGCGGCCAGGGCAUGAACACGAGGUGGGCUGAAGAGAGCUGAGUCGGUUAGGAGGCUAGGUUGGCCGGGGGAUGGGUUAGGGUUAGGGUUUCUUAAAGCAAAACCCUAGAUUAAUAUAUAUGCAAGGCAAUAAAUUGCGUCAAAGUCCCUCCAAACUCGAUAAUUUGCAAUUCAGUCCCUCACAGCACGAGUAAAACGUGCAUAAACCCCUCCACGCGCGAUUUCACGCGAAACGGUACAUAAAAUGUCGCAACUUUUGCGAAAUUACCGUUUUGCCAUCACCGACCUCUCCUUGAUCAACGCGCGAUCUCCGCAGAUCCGUCCGUCGGAUUUGCGAACGGAUUGCACCAGUGCGAUCAGCACCUCGGAGACAACAAAGCUACACUUUCGAUUCAUCUCGAUUGACCACGGAUUCACAACAAAAUCCAACCUUCUUCCAAUAGAAGGAAACACACACACAAAUACAUAUAAAACAUGUAUUUUUGGAUUUUCUCGAAAUCCGUGCGUCAAACUCAAAAUCCAUCAGCGCCACAAGUUCCAGAACAGCUGAACCGGUCGAAACGAGCUAUUGGACUGAUAUGAACGGAGUCCGAUACGCGCCAGAAGCCAACUCUACUCCGUGGCUUAUCCGGAAAACCGGAGUUACUAUUCACUUAAGUGAAAACUAAAAGUCGCGUAUCUUCUCCAUUUUAGCUCAUUUUCGCCCGAAACUUGACGAGUGCUUAAGUAAUUAAAUUACACACAUAAACAUCAUCAACAGAGAGUUUAGUAGCACUGUCAAAAAAAAAUCUCAGUCCUUACAACUUGUUCGCUAACAAGCACCUGCAUGCUUACUUUAGUGUCCCUACACUAAUGACUUGAGAUUCGUUACCUCAACUUAGAAGUAUAGCAUACACCGGCCUAUCCGGAAAUAUCAUCGUCCUUAUGAUAUUCCUAUGGCUAGGAGCAUUUAAGAAUCUUGUACAAAGAACUAUAUAUCUCAAAUUCCUAACUCUUAGGAAUAUAUUUUCUUAACGAAGAUUCAAUGGACGAUUCAUAUAAAUGUAUUGUACUGCUAACAAUAAAUAUGAAUAAAACUUGCCCUUUAUUAAUUAAGAAAAAUACUUAAUAUGUUCACAAGCCUGCGUCACCGAUUGGCUUUAGGGUAUAUCACUAACAAUCUCCCACUUGCACUAAUGCCAAUCGCUCAUGUAUCUCAUACCCAUUCUUUCUAAAUGCACAUCCAGCUUUUGAAGUGUGAGCGGCUUAGUAAGGGGAUCUGCUAUAUUGUCUACGGAUGCUACUUUCUGCACAACAAUUUGACGCUCAUCUAUAAAUUAUCGGAUGAUGUGGUAGCGUCGAUCUAUAUGCUUGGACUUCUGGUGAGACCUCGGUUCUUUAGUUUGCGCUAUAGCUCCAUUAUUGUCACAGUAAAGUGGCAUUGGUUCCUCAAUAGAAGGCACCACUCCUAGUUCCGUGACGAACUUUCGAAGCCAAACUGCCUCCUUUGAUGCCUCAGAUGCUGCAAUGUACUAUGCCUCAGUAGUGGAAUCUGCUGUUGUAUUCUGUUUGGAACUCUUCCAAAUGAUAGCCCCACCAUUCAAUAUGAAGACAUGCCCUGAUGUUGACUUUCUAUCAUCAACAUCUGACAUGAAGUCUGAAUGUGUGAAGCCUUCUAACGUUAGCUCAUUUCCACCAUACACCAAACACAAAUCCUUAGUUCUUCUCAAGUACUUAAGGAUAUUCUUCACAGCAGUCCAGUGUUCUUCACCUGGAUUGGACUGAUAUCUGCUCGUAACACUUACGGCAUAUGCGAUAUCUGGUCUUGUACAUAGCAUAGCAUACAUGAGACUUCCUAUUGCAAAAGCAUAGGGAAUUCUGCUCAUACGCUCUCUUUCCUCAGGUGUUUUAGGACACAUCAUCUUGGAAAGAUUAAUUCCAUGUCUAAGAGGAAGAAGACCCCUUUUGGAAUUUUCCAUGUUGAACCUCUUCAAUACAUCUUCUAUGUACAUUUGCUAUGACAAACCGAUCAACCUCUUAGAUCUAUCUCUAUAGACCUUAAUGCCAAGUAUAUAGGCUGCCUCUCCUAGAUCUUUCAUUAAGAAAUUUUGGGACAACAAAACCUUAACAGAGGUCAUCAAACCUGCAUCAUUUCCAAUCAAAAGAAUGUCGUCCACGUACAAUACGAGAAAGACAAGUUGGCUCCCACUAGUCUUCUUGUAAACACAAGGUUCAUCUUGAUUUCUCACGAAGCCAAACAUUUUGACUGCAUCAUUGAACCGUAUGUUCCAACUCCUCGAAGCCUGCUUCAAUCCAUAAAUGGACCUCUGAAGCUUGCAUACUUUAUGUUUCUGGCUAUUGGACACAAAUCCCUCAGGCUGCUGCAUAUAUAUGUCCUCCUCUAUGAAUCCAUUGAGGAAAGCAGUUUUUACGUCCAUUUGCCAUAUCUCAUAAUCAUAGUAUGCGGCUAUGGCAAGUAAUGUUCGAAUAGAUUUAAGCAUGACCACAGGAGAGAACGUUUCUUUAUAGUUGAGACAUUCUCGUUGACUGUAGCCUUUUGCUACAAGUCUCGCCUUGUAUGUCUCUACUUUUCCAUCCACACCAAUCUUUUUCUUGAAAAUCCAUUUACAACCAACAGGUACUAUACCUUCUGGAGGAUCAACAAGAGUUCAUACGUAAUUGGUAUACUUUGAGUCCAUUUCGGACUUCAUAGCUUCUUGCCAUUUUAUUGAGUCGAUGUCUAACAUCGCCUCUUCGUAACUAGUAGGAUCAUCCCUGCGAUCACUAUCGCCAAUGAGAAACAUUUCCUUUGUGCAUUCCAUAACGAAAUCUCGAUAUUUUGCUGGAGGUUGGGAUAUUCUACCAGAUCUUCGAGGUAAUUGUGUAAUAGUGGGUUCAGUUUGAAUAGCUUGUUCAGAUUGUUCUAGAGAAAUUGUUUGCUCAUUUGAGACCAUCUCUUUGAGCACUAUCUCCUUUCCGGCACUACCUUCUUGGAUAAACUCUUUUUCCAAAAAUAUUGCAUGUCGGCUAACAAUCACGUUUUGUUCACUUUGAAGAUAAAAAUAGUAUCCCAUAGACUCCUUGGGAUAACCAAUAAAUCUUCCUUUAUCCGACCUAGCCUCCAAUUUAUCUGUUUUAAGUUUUUUAACAAAAGCCGGGCAUCCCCAAAUCCUUAAAUGAUUGAGACCUGGUUUUUUGCCAAACCACAUCUCAUGCAGGGUACAAGGAAUAGAUUUUGAAGGCACCCUGUUUAGAAUAUAGGCUGCGGUUAAUAGAGCAUAACCCCAAAGAAAUAAAGGUAAGUCUGUGAAGCUCAUCAUCGAUCGUACCAUAUCUAAUAAAGUACGAUUCCUUCUUUCUGAAACUUCAUUCAAUUCCGGAGUUCCAGGAGGUGUCCAUUGCGAGAGAAUACCGUUUUCUCUGAGAUAAUUUAAAAAUUCAGCACCAAGGUAUUCGCCUCCUCGAUCUGAUCGAAGAGCCUUAAUAUUUUUUCCUGUCUGCUUCUCUACUUCAUGUCUGAAUUCUUUGAACUUUUCAAAAGUUUUAGACUUGUGUUUCAUAAGAAACACAGGCCCAUACCGUGAAUAAUCAUCGGUAAAAGUCACAAAGUAAAGAUAACCACCCCGAGCCGUUUCACUAAACGGUCCACACACAUCCGAGUGUAUAAGGGCAAGUAACUCUGUGGCUUGCUCUCUUUGUCCAACAAAGGGUGACUUGGCCAUUUUGCCUUGAAGACAAGACUCACAAACUGGAUAAGAUUCUAAAGCACAAGUUCCCAAGUGCCCAUCCUUCGCCAGUCGGUUUAUCCUAUCUUCUGCAAUAUGACCUAGUCGAAGGUGCCAUAGAUACUUCUGGUUCAGACUAUUAUCUCUAGGUCUCUUGAUUUGAGAAUUAUUCUCUUUAUGUUCAAUAUUAGCAACAUUUCCAUCCAGAUUUAGAAAGUAGAGAUUGUUAACUAAACUACCAGUAGCUAUCAAUUUAUUUUGGAAAUAAAUAAAACAACCAUUAGUUUCAAAAAUAAAACGAUAACCAGUUUGUACUAAAGUUGUAACCGAAAUCAAAUUCCUAACAACUAAAGAAGAAUAAUAACAAUUCUCUAAUUCUAAAAUAUGUCCAGAUGGAAGUCUCAAAGAACAGCUCCCUACGGCUAACACAGCAACACUUGCUUCAUUUCCCGCACGCAGGGUCACCUCGCCGUCCUUCAGUGUUCUACUUCCCUUUAGAUCCUGCAAUGAAUUACAAAGAUGUAAGGUGCAUGCAAAAUCUAAUACCCAAGAAGAAGUAGAGCCAAUCAUAUUGGCCUCAACGAUGAGCAUUUCGUUCGUACCUUCAGAACGCCCCUCCUUCAAUUUUUCUUUUAGGCUAGAAAGAUAUUCUUUACAAUUUCUCUUCCAAUGCCCAUCCUUACCGCAACGGAAACAUUUUCCUUUAGCCUUGCCAUUGUUGGAUUUCUUGAAAUUUUCUUUCUUCACUCCACCCGAUGACUUGAACUUAGGAAACUUUUUCUUUCCUUUGAACUUUCCUUUUGAAGCUCUUUCAACCGCCAUCGCCAUCCCGUUUGUCUUCAAUGUGCCUUCCGCUGUGAUUAGCAUAUUCAUAAGCUCGGACAAAGUGGCAUGAAUCCUAUUCAUGUUGAAGUUCAUAACGAAAUGAGAGAACGAUUCUGCCAAAGACUGUAGAACUAGAUCGAUCUGCAAGUCUGCGUCCAAGUUCAAGCCGAGGUUUUUCAGCUGGUCCAUGUCGUCAAUCAUUUUGAGACAAUGUUCACUGACCGACGUGCCUGGAGUCAUCUGAGCUUUAAACAAUCGCUUUGAUAUCUCAUAUCUUGCUGUUCGGCUUUGUGCACCAUACAACUCUUGUAAGUGCGCAAGCAUCUCAUAUGCUCGAGUAUAGUUCUCAUGCUGCCGUUGCAGCUCAUUCGACAUAGAGGCCAGCAUGUAAUAUUUAACACGUUGGUCAUCAUCAACCCACAUGUCUCUCUCCUCAACUUCUUCAGUUGUGGCUUCAGCGGUAAGCUCGGGAAUUGGAGCUUGAAGAACAUAAUCAAGCUUUUCAAUAACUAAAACAAUUUUUAGGUUACGAAGCCAGUCUUGGAAAUUAGGGACAGUUAAUCGGUUAGAUUCCAUUAUGCGAGAAAGAGGGUUAGAGGCAUUCAUUUUGUCUGCAGAAGGUAGAGAUUUUAGUUAGAUAAGUAAUUUUUUCUUUUUAACCAAUUAAACCAGGGUCUAUUAGUUUAAAAGGUUCCUCCCACUAAUUUUAUCGAAUUUCUACACUCCCUAAGUAGAAAGACGGAAAUCCUCAUCCGUUAGAUUUUUUAGUGGCGAUUGGGGUUUCAUAAAUUACGACUCACCUCACCGGACAGUUUCUUGGAAAACCGUAAUUUAAUGAACGGGUAACAUCUUACCUCGACACAUCUUAUGUGCAAUCCAAUCGUCCUUUGGCCUCUAAGAACUUUACGCCUCACCGGACAGUUUCUUGGCGCAACAACCUCAGUUAAGUCUAAUCCUCCUCUCCUACAAAUAUGGAAUUAUCAAAAGACCCUCACCGGACGGUUUCUUGGAUCCAUUGAUAAUGCUAUAUUGUAGCAUCUUAUGUCAAGAUGUUCGCAUAGUUCAAACACAAGUAGCCCCAUGGGAUCAUGCGUGACUACUCAAUGCUGAAACAAUGCUACAUCUUGUGAUCGGUGGAAGGCGACGAUAGAGCAUCAAAUGCCCCUUCGUUUCAACUUAAUAUUUUAUAGGGAGUUUUAAAAUUAUAUAUCGGUCUCAUCAUCACAUGUUAUAUCUCAUAUAAAAUUAAUCACAUGUAUCACAUACACAAAAAUAAAUUGCAUAGUUUAGGGAUGAUCAUGGACUUUUCUGAUUCGACUCGAGCCGAUGAGUCAAAUCGGUCUAUAGGGUGAUACACACAUAUUCUCAACAAUUGCAAAUAUUAAGCCAUCUUCUUCUGUUGGAUCUGAUACAUCCUUUGAUGCCAUCACGAUUUGCGACGCCAAUCCAUCAAUGCUUGAUGUGGAUUUUUCUCCAAAUAAUCCUAAUUUUAUCUAAUAAAAAUACAAGGAUUCGUAGAUCCCAAUAAAAUGGCACGCAGGCCCUUCGUGAUAAAAAAAAUAUACAACCAUAAUUAAAUUACAAAUACACCCAUAAUCAAAUUACAAAUACAUCCAUAAUCACAUUACAAAUACAUCCAUAAUCACAUCACAGAUGUCUAAGGUCCAUGAUCAUCACCCAUCUAAAAACUAUGCAGAAAAUAAUAACCAAAUCGAUCUAAUCAUUGAUUAAAAUUUAGAACUCAAUAAUAUGUUUUUCUCAAGUCUCCACGUAUUUUUUUUAUGGUGUGAAACCGAUAAAUCACACUACGUGCAACUUAAGAAAAACAAUAUCGAUCUCAUCGAAAAUGGUUCCAAAAUUUCAAUCAAACCAUAAAGAUCGUAAAUAUUUUACAUAGAACAUGAGAAUCGGCUCUGAUACCACUGUAAGAGUUUAUCCGGCACAAAAAAUCGCAGCGGAAAAUAAAUAUCGUGUUUUCGAAAAACAAAAAUCCAUAUCACAUAUGAACCAAAAUAAAACAAAUCAAUCCAGUGCCGGUGGAUCAUUCUCAUGUUGCAAUAUAAAAUAAAAUUUAACCUAAACAGAUUUAAAGUUCAGGUUACAUUACCUUGGACCAGUUAAGGUCUCUUGAUCUACUGUACGGUUGAAACUGAAAUUCCGAUCAGCCGCACACGUGCCCGGCCUCUACGCGUAUCCACACGGAAUUGAUCCAGAUCCAAUGCUUUCCGUCGCACGGAAUAGAUGAGUCGCGGAUUACAAAGACGGUGCUAGCAGUCUCGUGAUAUCCACGUUCGCCUUUUGUGAGAUGUACUGAUUUUUUUUUUGGAAAAAUUAGAGAGAGAUGGAUGAUCUAAUAUUUCUCAAGAGGCUAUUAUUAAAUUCCUCUCGUAAAAGGAUGUUAUAUUAUGUUCACGUAGCCGUGCAUUAAUAAUUGAUUAAGCCACGCCUAGCCAUACAAUCAACAUCCUCAAUAUUCUUUUGCAACUAAUUUGGAUCACAUCCAAUUAGUUGCAUAAAUUGUUGCAUGCAUUCUGGUAUAACUAAUUUGGAUCAUAUCCAAUUAGUUACAUGCAUUCUAAUGUAACCAAUUUUGAUCAUAUCCAAUUAGUUCCCAUUGAUAAGUAAAACAAAUUUAUACUUAUCCUUAUGGAUUAUUUAUCUUUGUCUCUCUCUUUAAUUUAAUUGGAUCUUAUCCAUUAAAUAUUCAUAUUAUAAUCUAUUUAGAAUAUUAUCUCAUAAUAAUCUAUGAAUAAUUAAUUAUUCUCUAAUCUAAUUAGAGAUUAAAUCAAAUUAUAAUUCUCACAAUUUUCACUAAACUAUUUAGUGUAUUAAUUAGACUCAUCUUAUCAAAUUGGAUGCACACAAUUCCUAUUGUGUGUGACCGCAUAGGUCCAUUAUCAUUCGGUAGUGGAGUUCAAUAUCAAACUCUUUAAUAUUGAAUUAGAACUCUUCUAAUCUAUAAAAUAAUUUAUUUGAAUUAUUUUUACUUCUCUCAUUGUCUGUGAGUGACACCUAGCAGUAUAUCACGGCAAUCCAGAAUAAUGAUGAAAAACGAACCUUUCCACUAAUAGUUACUAUGUGAUUAAUUCCUUCCAACAUACAACGCCCCGAUCGAACUAAAAUUAUGGUUACUCGCCAAAUUUUAUUAUUCGAUCAUAUGACUAGAAUAUCUAAAACUGACUCAAUAUGGUAACACAGCUGGAAACUCUUUCCACACACCACGUACCCUGGCCAAGGAUUUUUCGAGUCAAGUUCGAUGGUCUACAUAGGACGUUCUCUCUCACUAUUGAGAGUGUUGAAUUCCUUAUUGCGCAUUCACAUGCCUCCCCAUAUAAACUACUACAGCCAAUCAGUACCAGACAUAGACCAAUGAUUAGAGUCUAAAUAUUAGUACAGUUAAAUAGUAGCAAUCUACAUGUGAAGCAACCAUGAUGCCUCAGGUCUAAGGAGUACUUCACACAACUGUAGCAAAGAACUAGUCACUGGCGAAUUCGGAACCAUGUGACUGUUCAACUAAAUGGUCACGCUCAGUGUACUUAUUCGCUAACAAGCACCUGCAUGCUUACUUUAGUGUCCCUACACUAAUGACUUGAGAUUGGUUACCUCAACUUAGAAGUAUAGCAUACACCGGCCUAUCCGGAAAUAUCAUCGUCCUUAUGAUAUUCCUAUGGUUAGGAGCAUUUAAGAAUCUUGUACAAAGAAAUAUAUAUCUCAAAUUCCUAACUCUUAGGAAUAUAUUUUCUUAACGAAGAUUCAAUGGACGAUUCAUGUAAAUGUAUUGUACUGCUAACAAUAAAUAUGAAUAAAACUUGCCCUUUAUUAAUUAAGAAAAAUACUUAAUAUGUUCACAAGCCUGCGUCACCGAUUGGCUUUAGGGUAUAUCACUAACAGUAACAAUAUCCCCAAAGGUCCCCCAAAACUCAGAAAUUACAACAUGUGCAAAACAGUUCUGUACCAUCGAGUAUCGAUAUGCAAAUUAGAGUACAGAUACACAAAUCAAGUGUUCUAGCAUCCAAAUUCAGUCUAGCAAAAUCCAGAACGCUGGAUUCCUUAGGCUUCCACUAAGUUUUGGUACCACGUGCAUCAGUAUCGGUAGAAAUCGUAUCAAAACCAAUACCCAACCUAGUUUCGCAAAUCCCGAGAGCUGUCCAAACCAAUACACAACAGGGUUUCGGUACUCAAACUCGGUAUUAGUACGCAAUUGCCAAACUAGUAGCUUUUGUAGAUUGUGGCCUCUGGAGUCCGUUUUUGCGCUAUUCAAGCUCCGAAAAUGCUCUCAAGCUCUCCAAAUUCAAACCAAACUCUCAGAAAAGUAUAGAAUACUAUUCCUCUUACUGGAACCUCGCAAUUAGCUAAAGUUUAGUGUGCUAUAAAGAGAAAUAUUUAUGGUUGGCUAGUUAUUAAUGAUAUGGUGUAAGUGUUACAUUAUAGUGUAAGGACUGAGAUUUUUACAGUACAACUAAACUCUCUGUUGACGGUGUUUAUGUGUGUAAUUUAAUUACAUAAGCACUCGUCAAGUUUCAGGAGAAAAUGAGCUAGAAUGGAGAAGAUACGCGAUAUUAGUUUUCACUUAAAGUGAAUAGUAACUCCGGUUUUUCGGAGAAGCAACGGAGUAGAGUUGGCUUUCGGCGCGUAUCGGACUCCGUUCAUAGUGAUCCAAUAGGUCGUUUCGAUUUGUUCAGCUAUUCUGGAACCAAUGGCACUGACGGAUUUCAGAUCUGAUGCACGGUUUUCGAUAAAAAGGAGUUUUAAUAAAAAGAGGAUUUUCGCUCUUUGCUAUUCGUGCAUUUUAAAACUCCUCGUGCUUUGUACUAGUGAUCUGGAGAUGGGUGAGAGAUGUUUCAAGUACCUACUGGUGGUAGGGAAUUCAAAUACGAGUUUGAAUUAAAGGUUUUUGGGUUUUCACAUAAGUCUAUGUGUGACUUAUGGAUUAAUUAGAGAGCGGAGGGAUUCCGUCGCGAAUCCGUGACCAAAUUGGAUGAAACAAGAUUGUAGUUUUGAUGCCCCCGACGUGCUGAAAGCAAUGGUGUUGUCGGAUCGAAAAUCCGACGGAUGGAUUUUCGGAAAACGCGAAAUGUUCACUAAGAGGUCAAAGCGGCAUUUUUGGUAUUUCACACGAAACCCUUAUAGUUUAUGUGUCGAAUUGCAUGAGAUCAGACGUGGAGGUGCAUACGCGCAAGUUACACUCCCUGUCAGGGACUCAGCUGAUAUUACUUACCAUGGGGAGGACUUUUCUGCAAUUUGCACAUUGCAUACAAUGUGUAUCUAGGGUUCUUUUGCAAGAAACCCUAGAUCUAGCCGACCUAGUUCCCCAACCGUGCCCUAGAUAGCCCCAGCAGGUCCCUACCCUGCCUGUGCUCGUGCCCAGACCUCCGGCGAGCAACUCCGGCCGCCGGAAAACUCAUGGUCAUCUUCCUCUCCUCCCCUCUCGACCACCCUCUCCUCCUCUCUGCCGAAGUUGCUCGGGAAGCGACCACAGACCAUCUUGGAAGCUUCCUGGGAAGAUAUCUCCCUCUCCGGCGCCGGCACCGGCCAUCCCCACCAUCCUCGCGCGCCGCCGGCGCCGCCCAAGCAAGCCGCGGGCAACCCAGACGAGCUCGGCCCGAGCAGACCUUAGCUCGAGGCUUGCGAGUUGUAGCAGCCCUAGCUCGGCCGCCCUGCCUCAUUUGGCCUCCGGGGUGACCCCGCGCGCCAUCGCCGCCGCUCCUGACGCCGCCGGCCGCCACCCCUGCUCUCUGCGGCCGCCGAGACUGAGUGUGGGUCGAGCCGGGGCUAGCUCUGCCUCCGCACGUCGCCGCCUUCCGCCGCCGGCCAGCGCGAUCACCGGCUCCGCCUGGCCGGCCGCACCCGUCCACCGCCGGCUAACCUGCCGCCGAAGCUCCCUGUCAACCGUGGUGAGCCCAUGCUCUCCUCGGGUUGCGCGACUAGGGCAUCGUUGCCCUCUGUCGUCGCCGCCUCCCGUCGCCUGUUGACGCGAGCCCCGGCCUCCUCUGACCUGGAGCACCUUCCCCUGGCCGGCCUGCCCGCCGUCCGGCCGCCGCCGGCCACCCCGAGCCCUGCCUAGCUCCGGUAAGCUUGUAUUGCAAUUAUUCUGCACCGUGUCUUGGGGUUUCGGUGAUUGUUCCGGUGAACCGAGGCCACCCCGAGUCUUCUGAAGGUGAGCACGAUGAUCCUGGUUCAGUGCUGAUCAUCGUGGCCACCUUCAUUGGAGUUUGAGAGCUUCUGAUUUGCGAGAUAAGCAUGUUCUUCAUGCUGUGCGCGCUGUUCGCAGAUUUUCGCGUCACUCCCACGCUCUCCACAGUGGCCGAAAUUGCUCUGAAAGGUGAGCACGGCAUCCGGCACGGCGAGACCUGUCAGCGGGUGUCUCGGCUUCGCUGAUUCACUUCUGGUUUGUGCAGACGGACCAUAAAAGCGCCGAAAUCGCAUGAAAUAAUGCGAUUUCGGGUAUUCGGAAGGGCUUUUAUGCAACUUUGUUCGUCGUGGCUGCUGUUGGCAGCAAGUAUGGGCUGAGGAUAGCCUCUGGACUGAUCGUCCAAGGCCCCAAGCCUUUGCGGGAAUCAGAAAGUGAUUUCCGGUGCGUUUCUCGGCGAAAUCCGCCGACGGAACACGGGUUCAGUUUGGAAUUAUUCCGACGGUGCUUCGUGAGAUGAUGUGUAGUCGCUGUGCCUUGUUGGCUGGUCACUCGCGUCAUUUCGAGAGUUCAGAAAUGAUGGGUGAGCGACGGUGGGUUCCGGUAUCAAAAUAGACACUUCCGGGAACCCGGUUUGGAACGAUUAUUCGACGAUAAUCGUUUUGGAGUGAGUUAAGGUCUUUGCUGCCAAGUCACACGUAAAUUUGUAUUUAGUGGCAGCGGGCGACUCGUAGGACGAGUCGGUGAGUUCCGGGACAGUCCGUGGGUCCCGGCAGAGUCUCGGUGCGAUUACGGAAUUUCCGGCGUAUUACGAUGAUCGGUUUGGGAAACCGAUUCUCGUGGUUAUUUGUGUGGCGUUUGGCUUUUAGGGUUUUCUUAGUUGUGGGUAGACACUAACCCAUGUGGACCUGUCUUAGGUCCGGUUGACGUUCUUUUUGGCAGUCAGGAGACCUGCGCGACAGUUGUACAUGUGGGUACUCGACCCGUAGUCGAUACAGUGUCACGCUCGGUGACGGCUUCUUCACCCCUACUGUUUACUCACCUUACAGUUAUAUUGAACGCUUGCACCUGCAUUUAUAUCUGCAUUCCUCUACUCAGUUAUUUCCAUGUCGAUAUCAUACUUAGAAGUAGAGUUGACCUAUCUGUUUCACUAUAUCUGUGAUUUGGUUGGGUGGUUCCCCAUUUUGAUAUCUAUGACCUACUUCGGUCAGUUGUUACAGUUCUAUCUUGACAUACGUAGCCGACUAGUUGCUGAUGACCUAUAUGGUCGAUGUGCCCUGAGGGCUGGAUUGUCGGCUAGUUGACGAUGGAAGAUCUUUGAGCAUACUACAUUGAUCGCCACUCCAGUAGUCAUUCACGAACACCAGCGGUCUGAUCCACGCAAGAGGGUGUUAUUUUCGGAAAAGUGUUCGAUUGCCAACCCGUGAGCCCAGGGCCUUUAUUGCGAGGUAUAUGCUUUGACCAGGGGUCAUUUCAUGUGCGAGGGUCAGGUACAGGGUGAGCAGUGGUGGCAUGGUCCUGAGGUCUUCGGACAGUCGGAAAUAGGCAGCGAGAUAUGCUUCGGACCCGAGCUUUCAUUGCGAGGGUCAGGUACAGGGUGAGCAGUGUGGCAUCGGCCUGAGGUCUUCGGACCAAUAGGGCAGCGAGAUUGGGUACUUUUGAGGUUAUCGUUAGUUGACGCAUGCAUACAAUAGCUGUAGUGCUUAUUUCCAGUACAUCCUUAUCUGUUUAUUGUAGCUACUGUUUUAUUUACCUGCAUCUAUACUUGUCAGCUCCCUACUUAUCAGCAUCUUUACUUACCAGCACUUAGAUCUAUCUAGUUCUCCGUGACUAGUGAGUACCCCUCGCCCUCUCCGGCUUGCAGUACCCACUGGGAGGGGAGACAUGUUUACAUGUUCUCACCUCCCCCACCAUUUUUCAGGUAUUGCAGGCGAUGAGUUUUGGGACGAGACGUGAGGUACGUUCGUAGCGGUCGAUAGAGCUUCCGACCCAGGUUAUUGGUUUAGUUCCUACCCUUACUAUUCUGUUGACAUAGUUUAGAUAGUUUACCUGGUUCAGUAUUUUUAUUACAUUUGAACAUGUGGAUUUUCAUGAAUGUAAUAAAAGAAUUUUUGGAUUUUGAAAAAUAAAAGGUUUUCUACCCAUCGUGGUAGCGUUUUAUAAAGAUAAAAGUUCCUGUGUAGGGAACAGCUUUCAGAAGGUUUUCUGUGGAUCUUGUAUCUUAGUAUUUCAAAACCUGUUUCUGUGGUUGGAAACAUUUUACUGAUAGAUGUGGAUUUAUAUUUAAAUAUCGAAUGUAUUAAUGUGAACCUGUGGUGAAUGGUGUAUGAAUAUAUAUCUGUUGGUCAUUUGUAUGUUCAUAUGGUUGUGGUUGUAUAAUGUUUGAACUCUUGUACUUGUGUGACGCCGUACAAAUAUAGGGGAGACUCUGUCCGUGUGAACAGUGGAUUUCCUGUAUUUGUGGCGGAUCUGGCAUACUCUGGGGUCAGAUUUUCAAAAAAAAAAAUUCAGACGCUUUUCCGCUAUCUUUUAAACUAAAAGGGACCCCGGGGCGUGACAUAUAGACCUUCUCCUUCCAAGGGCCAAUAAUACAUGGUUGUCUUGUUAAUCUUUCUUUUAAUCCAAAAUCUAAAGAAUUUUCAAAACUCCAGGAUUAAGGUGAUAUAGGGGGUGUUUGGCUUAAAUUUUCAAAAAUAAUUUUAGGACCAAAAGUAAUUUUGCCUUUAAUAGAGCGUCUAAUUAACAACCUUUUUUUCAAAUAUGAUUCUAAUUCUCAAAAUCAGUUUUAUGAUUUUUAGGUCUCAAAACUAGAAACAAGUAAAAUAAGCUUCUAAAAAUCUAAUUCUAAUUCUAGACAAAUUUAAAGUUUAAUUUUUACAUUGUAUUCAAAUUAUUCAUUUAAAUUUAAAUUUCAAAAUUAAAUUUUUAGAAUUUUAAAAUUUAAAUUUUAUGUUUUAAUUUUAAGUUUUAAAAUUUAAAUCUUAAAAUUAAAAAUUUAAAAUUUAAAAUUUAAAAUCCUAAAUUUAAAUUUAAAUUUUAAAUUUUAAAAUUUAAAUAUUAAACUUUGCUUUAAAAUUUCAAAACUGAAAUUUUAAAAUUUCAAAAUUUUAAAUUUUAAAUUUCAAAUUUAAAAUAAAUUUAAAAUCAAAUUUUAAAUUUUAAAAUUUUAAAUUCCAAAUUAUAAGUUUUAAUUUUAAAAUUACAAAUUUCAAACUUUUAAGACCAAAAUAUAAGUUUUUCAAAUUUUUAUUUUUAAUUUUCAAAGUUUAUUUUUCAAUUUCAUAUAUUUUAAAUUCAAAAUUUUAAGUUUCAAAUUUAGAUUUUAAAUUAAAUUUUAAGUUUUAAAAUUUUAAAUUCCAUAUUAUCAAUUUUAAUUUUUAAAUUACCAAUUUCAAAAUUUUAAGAUAAAAAUAUAACUUUUUCAAAUUUUAAUUUUAAUUUUUAAAGAUUUAUUUUUAAUUUCAUAUAUUUUAAAUUCAAAAUUUUCAGUUUCAAAUUUAGAUUCUAAAUUCAAAGUUUGAUAUUUAAAGUUCAAAUUUAGAUUUAGAUAUUCAAGUUUUAAAAUUUAAUUUUUAAAUUUUCAAUUUUCAAAUUUGUAUUAUAAAUUAAAAAAAUUAGAUUUUAAAUUUUUGUUCAAAAUUUUAGAUGAAAAUUUAAAUAAAUAUUUUAAAUUUAACUGUAAAUUUUAGAUUAUUUUAAAUAAAAUUUAGCAAAAAAAAAAUCUACCACUACUAAAACAAAAUUUUUCGAAACAGGUUGACAAAAUCGCUUGAGAAAAAUUACUUUUGAUUUUGUUGAUGCCAAAAUUGAAAUUAACACACCGACUUAGCCCAUGUGUGAGCCAAAGAAAUAAGGACACGUGGUACACCAGGAGUCAGCAAUAAAGCGCCUGAAAGUCAAGGGCGUUUAGGAGGGAACGGUUGAGAAGUGAAGGCGUAACUUCCAUGAGAAGUGGGCGUAACUUUCAUGAGGAGUGGGCGUAACUUCCACGAUCAUGGUUACAACCACUCCCCCCACUACUUUCAACCGACCAAUAAUGUGGGCUGAGAAGACAUCACUAUAAAUAGUAACUUCAAAGCCUGUAAUAAAGGUUUUUCUCCAUCCUAAACGAGAAGACCACCCUUAUUUCCUUUGCAUUUUAUCGCUUUUCUAGGAGUAGUCUAAAUGUAAUCCUUUUCUUUUUCGCAUUUACUGCUUUCCUAGGAGUAGUUCGCUAAGUAGAACCCUAGAGUCUGUCUGCCCCACGGGCAUCACUCAGUUGUAGACUAUAUUUACAGAGUCUGUCUGCCCCACGGGCAUCACUCUGUUGUAAACUAUAUUUCUGAGUUAGUAUGCCCUUCGGGCACAUCUUUUUUAUUAGGGAUAAUUGCCUAUAUACCCUUCAUGUGUUCGAAAAUAUCCGAUCUACCCCUACUUUUUUUUUCUUUCUAAAAUGCCCCUCAUAUGUUCCACCGUUAUUCCAAAAUACCCCGCAGUUAUCCCCUGUUAGCUUAACUCGGGUUAAACAUGGGUUAAAUCUAUACUAGAGUUAAAAUCUAAACAAAAUACCUAUUUUGCCCCUACCUUAUUAUACUAAUCCCUAAGAUUAUCCUCUCUUUCUUCCCCAACUUGGUCGCCACCACCGGCCGGCUCCUUCGCCACCACCGGCCAGCUCCUCCGCCACCAUCUCGCCUCAUCUCCUCCCAGACCACCACCACCUCCCACACCUCCACCUCCAACACCACCCCUCUCGUCGCUCUCAUCGUCCUCUUCUACCGUUGCUCUCGUCAUCGCCGUCGUCCUCCUCCUCCACCGCCUUGGCCGGCGCUGGGAGCAAGAGGGCCGCAGCGACGAUCCCAUCUCUUGCCGAUCUUGUCAUCCUU